rnacentral:rRNA from 1 species
GAUGAACGCUGGCGGCGUGCCUAAUACAUGCAAGUCGAGCGAACAGACGAGGAGCUUGCUCCUCUGACGUUAGCGGCGGACGGGUGAGUAACACGUGGAUAACCUACCUAUAAGACUGGGAUAACUUCGGGAAACCGGAUCUAAUACCGGAUAAUAUAUUGAACCGCAUGGUUCAAUAGUGAAAGACGGUUUUGCUGUCACUUAUAGAUGGAUCCGCGCCGCAUUAGCUAGUUGGUAAGGUAACGGCUUACCAAGGCGACGAUGCGUAGCCGACCUGAGAGGGUGAUCGGCCACACUGGAACUGAGACACGGUCCAGAAUCCUACGGGAGGCAGCAGUAGGGAAUCUUCCGCAAUGGGCGAAAGCCUGACGGAGCAACGCCGCGUGAGUGAUGAAGGUCUUCGGAUCGUAAAACUCUGUUAUUAGGGAAGAACAAAUGUGUAAGUAACUAUGCACGUCUUGACGGUACCUAAUCAGAAAGCCACGGCUAACUACGUG